UACGGAAGGCAGCAGUGGGGAAUAUUGCACAAUGGGCGAAAGCCUGAUGCAGCUAUGCUGCGUGUAUGAAGAAGGCCUUAGGGUUGUAAAGUACUUUCAUCGGGGAGGAAAAAACAAAACUAAUAAUUUUAUUUCUUGACGUUACCCGAAAAAGAAGCACCGGCUAACUCCGUGCCAGCAGCCGCGGUAAUACGGAGGGUGCUAGCGUUAAUCAGAAUUACUGGGCGUAAAGAGCACGUAGGUGGUUUUUUUAAGUCAGAUGUGAAAUCCCUGGGCUUAACCUGGAACUGCAUUUUGAAACUGAAAUACUAGAGUAUCGUAGAGGGAGGUAGAAUUCUAGGUGUAGCGGUGAAAUGCGUAGAUAUCUGGAGGAAUACCUGUGGCGAAAGCGGCCUCCUAAACGAAUACUGACACUGAGGUGCGAAAGCGUGGGGAGCAAACAGGGAUUAGAUACC
rnacentral:rRNA from 1 species